rnacentral:rRNA from 1 species
UACGUGGGGGGCAAGCGUUGUCCGGAUUUAUUGGGCGUAAAGCGCGUGUAGGCGGCCAGAUAGGUCUGCUGUGAAAACUCGAGGCUCAACCUCGAGCUGUCGGCGGAAACCAUCUGGCUAGAGUCCGGAAGAGGAGAGUGGAAUUCCUGGUGUAGCGGUGAAAUGCGCAGAUAUCAGGAAGAACACCUAUGGCGAAGGCAGCUCUCUGGGACGGUACUGACGCUGAGACGCGAAAGCGUGGGGAGCGAACAGG